AAUCUUCGACAAUGGACGAAAGUCUGAUGGAGCAACGCCGCGUGAGCGAAGAAGGUUUCCGGGUCGUAAAGCUCUGUUGCGCGGGAAGAACAAGUACGGGAGUAACUGCCCGUACCUUGACGGUAACCCGUCAGAAAGCAACGGCUAACUACGCGCCGGCAGCCGAGGUAAUACGUAGGGGGCCAGCGUUGUCCGGAAUUAUUGGGAGUAAAGCGCGCGCAGACGGUCCUUUAAGGCUGAUGUGAAAGACCACGGCUCACACGUGGAGAGUCAUUGGAAACUGGAGGACUUGAGUACAGAAGAGGAAAGCGGAAUGCCACGGGUAGCGGUGAAAUGCGUAGAGAUGUGGAGGAACACCAGUGGCGAAGGCGGCGUUCUGGUCUGUAACUGACGCUGAGGCGCGAAAGCGUGGGGAGCAAACA
rnacentral:rRNA from 1 species